UACGAAGGGUGCAAACGUUGCUCGGAAUCAUUGGGCGUAAAGCGCGCGUAGGCGGCUUGGCAAGUCGGAUGUGAAAUCCCUCGGCUCAACCAAGGAAGUGCAUCCGAAACUGCUGAGCUUGAGUACUUAAGAGGAUCGCGGAAUUCCCGGUGUAGAGGUGAAAUUCGUAGAUAUCGGGAGGAACACCAGUGGCGAAGGCGGCGAUCUGGGAAGAUACUGACGCUGAGGUGCGAAAGCGUGGGGAGCAAACAGG
rnacentral:rRNA from 1 species